GAAAAUUGGAGGAAGAAACGAUCUUUACUGAUACAAGAGAUCAGCGCGUUGGGCUGCUUCAGGUUCAGGGGAUAGGCCAGUUAUAUAUUCAAAACGUGUUACGAAAAGCCCGCACGCUAAAACCUCCUGAUCUGGAUGAGCGACAAAAACCCUAAAACCUAAAACCAACCUUUCCUUCAUUGGCACUUGAGCAUGGACGACACUCAAGUCGAAGCAGGAGACAACAACAGAGACAUUGAGGUGGCUCCGGCCUUGAUUAGUGUUCAUCCCAACCAGAAUUCCGUCGCAGUCGCCGUCGGAUCGGACCUCCGCAUCUUCGACCUCCGAGGGGGUUGCGGGGUAUCUUUGGUGGAUGAUUCUGCUCAGCCUUUUCAUAAGGAUUCAAUAAGAGCUAUUCGCUAUAGUGCAAAUGGGAAGCUUCUUGUAUCAGCCGCUGAUGAUAAGCUUGUCAAGAUAUGGUCUACCGACUCUUGGCGCUGCGUUAGUUCCGUUUGCUCAGAGAAAAGAGUGAGUGCAGUUGCUAUAAGCGAGGAUGGGUUGUAUGUUUGUUUUGCUGAUAAGUUUGGAGUUGUUUGGGUUGUGGAUUUGCAUGAGCUUGAAGGAAAUGAAUCUUUAGUCAGUAGAAAGGCUGCACCUUUGCUUGCUCAUUAUUGCAGCAUCAUCACUAGCCUGGAAUUUUCACCAGAUGGACAGUUUAUCGUUAGUGCAGAUCGUGACUUUAAGAUUCGUGUUACUGUGUUUCCAAAGAAGCCCUUAGAUGGAGCUCAUGAGAUACAAAGCUUUUGCCUUGGUCAUACAGAGUUUGUCUCCUGCCUUGCCUUUAUUUGCACGAUGGAUUACCCUCAGGGGUUUCUUGUUUCUGGCAGUGGUGAUUCUACAGUUCGCUUGUGGGAUAUUACAUCUGGGUUUCUUCUUGAUACUUGUGAAGUUGGUGCUAAGGCAGGACUUCUAGAGUCCAAUAGAAGUGAUGAGGGCUGUUCUACUGUCUCUGAUCUGUGCAUAAUUCUAGAUGGUAAUCUCAUUGCAGUGGCCAUCCAAAGGCAAGUUUCUAAGCACUCUGCAUUUCUUUUUAAUCCUUUUUCUUUAUUGAAAUGUAAGCCUGUUGAUUCAAUGUAUUAAUCUACAUAUAUCUUAUGUUAGCUUGCAAGGAAUAAUGCUGUUACACUGUGACCUUUCUUCCCGAACUCUCAAUGUCAUCAAGGUAAGGAUCACAACUGAUAUUUUAAAACUUGGACCAGAUGGGCUGGUUCCACUGGAAAGCUUAGUAACCUGACAGGUUUUCUGGUUCUGUUUAUUAUUAAACCAGAGAAGAGAACCCAUCUAAGAAGCAGUAACUGUCUGGUUGAACCAUGAACUGGUCAGCCUGGUCAAGUAUUGAGACGGUCAGGCCUGUUCAUUGCUGGUAGUUGCGGCAGAACCAGAAGUCACAUUUACCAAAUUAAAAAUUUUUGAAAUGAAAUGUGCAUCAGUGGAGAUAGAACUCUGAAACCUCAAGUCAGAAAGGAGUAACAUGAACUAGUGCACCUAAAUCCAAUUGUGAUUAAAUGCCAAUUUUUAAUAUUUUUAUUUUGAGCUAGAAAAUAAUACCAUUAAUCUGGAAAAAAAAUUUCAUUCAUCCAUUUUAUUAAUUAGGCUUAUCCUAAGAAGUACAAUGGGUUUUUUUUAAUAAAAAUGGUAAUGACUUUAACUUACCAUUAGCAAUAAAAUAUAUUCUAAACCCUAAAAUUUCAAUUAUCAUUCUGGUGUUAGUGUAGUAAUCUUAAUGGACAUCACUGAUUCCUUUGUCCAGUUCUUCAGCUCUCAUCUUUUUUGCCAUCUAUACAGCUGAAUAGAUGCUAUUUUUUAGUUUGUAAAAUUUUGAAUUCCUUGGAGACGCAUUUACUUGAUAUUUGCAUUGAUGUCCAUCUGCAAUGAAUUUGAAAAAUCUUUGGCUGAAUCUGAAUAUUAAAUUCUGAGCAUAUAUGUAUAAGCAUGAAGUACACGACAUAGAUAAGGUUUUUCUAUUUCCUGCUGAUGUGACUCUUAUAGGUGGUUUCUAUCAUGGGAGAGAGCUUCAUUCCUACAAGCCUGGGGAGUAGCUCUCAUGCAGAAUUACUAUGGAUGGUAACUGGUGUCUCUAAAUUGAGUGGUUCUGAUUGCAACUCUUUGGCUCGAGUGAGGGUUCUUUCUGGUUUUAAGAAAAGUAAUCCUGAUUCUGUUGGCCAUGAGUUAACUGUGAUGAGAGAUGAUGAACUACCUGGAGCAGAGAAACUACUAGAGAAGUUGCAGGGAAGUGUGUCACUUGAGGAGAAUGUUUUUUUAGCAGCCGCUGAAGCUGUGAAAACAGCAAUGUGUAAUUUGUUAAUUAAGAAGCAGUACUCCAUGGAGAAGAGAGAAUUUAGAAAGAGAAGUAGAAAUGAUAGGAAAAUCAAACAAUGAUAGACUCAACAGUUGUAACAACUAGUUCUCUCUGCUGAUUCAUGGGUUGGAGGCAUCUGAGCUUAAUUUAUUUUUGUAGUUGUCUUAGAUAGCCCUUCUAAUCUGUUAUUUCUUGUACAAUAAUAUUAGUAAACUUAAAACUCUCAUGAGAAGCUACACAAAUCAUUUGCAGCUUUCAUGGUUGAAAUUGAGAGGAAAUGAUACUUGUUAUGAUUUCUGAGAGAUUCAAUUCUUU
rnacentral:misc_RNA from 1 species